rnacentral:lncRNA from 1 species
AGCAACCAAGUGAAGAAAGGGGUUUACUUCAGCUGCUAAAUCCAGGUUACUGCCCAUCAUUGUGAAGUCAAGGCAGUGUCAAAUGGCAAGGCACAUCACGUCUGCAGAGAGACACAAAGUGGCUUACAAGCAUCCAUCCUCUGCCUGCUGUGGUAACAUGCAAGGAUACAUGUCUGUUGACAUUUGGAGGCGUGGUCACAGUCAUGACAUUCCUGCUUCUGCUGCAUGCUGAGAACUUAAGAACAGGACACGCUGAGCGGUGGCAGGAAAGCAACUCAAGGGAGAAAGGAUGAUUCUGACUUGGCUCAGGGUAUGGUCUAUCAUGGCAGCCGAUUCCAGCUGCAACAGCUUGAACUUUUGUUGUGUCUCCAUCAACUUUGGAAGCAGAUAGGACAAGAGCACUUUUGCAUUAUUCAGGAGGGCAGGUGAAAUCUGAGAGGAAUUGACUAACCAUAGGGUUCCACGUUUGAGCAUUGUCGCCCGACUGCAAACAUCGAGUUGGAGAAGUCGUUUGACAAACACGUUUUUUCUCCCUUUCUAAUGUGUACCUUCUGGUGCUUUUAGUACUUUUAUGCAUUUGUUGUAUGAUCCGGC